rnacentral:rRNA from 1 species
GCGCGAUACAGGGUGACAGCCCCGUACACAAAAGCGCAUGUGCUGUGAGCUCGAUGAGUAGGGCGGGACACGUGGUAUCCUGUCUGAAUAUGGGGGGACCAUCCUCCAAGGCUAAAUACUCCUGACUGACCGAUAGUGAACCAGUACCGUGAGGGAAAGGCGAAAAGAACCCCGGCGAGGGGAGUGAAAAAGAACCUGAAACCGUGUACGUACAAGCAGUGGGAGCACAGGUUUACCUGUGUGACUGCGUACCUUUUGUAUAAUGGGUCAGCGACUUAUAUUCUGUAGCAAGGUUAACCGUAUAGGGGAGCCGGAGGGAAACCGAGUCUUAAUUGGGCGUUAAGUUGCAGGGUAUAGACCCGAAACCCGGUGAUCUAGCCAUGGGCAGGUUGAAGGUUGGGUAACACUAACUGGAGGACCGAACCGACUAAUGUUGAAAAAUUAGCGGAUGACCUGUGGCUGGGGGUGAAAGGCCAAUCAAACCGGGAGAUAGCUGGUUCUCCCCGAAAGCUAUUUAGGUAGCGCCUCGUGAAUUCAUCUCCGGGGGUAGAGCACUGUUUCGGCUAGGGGGCCAUCCCGGCUUACCAACCCGAUGCAAACUGCGAAUACCGGAGAAUGUUAUCACGGGAGACACACGGCGGGUGCUAACGUCCGUCGUGAAGAGGGAAACAACCCAGACCGCCAGCUAAGGUCCCAAAGUCAUGGUUAAGUGGGAAACGAUGUGGGAAGGCCCAGACAGCCAGGAUGUUGGCUUAGAAGCAGCCAUCAUUUAAAGAAAGCGUAAUAGCUCACUGGUCGAGUCGGCCUGCGCGGAAGAUGUAACGGGGCUAAACCAUGCACCGAAGCUGCGGCAGCGAACGUAUCACCCAAGACAACUUUACGGAGUUGACGAUUGACGGAGCGAAGCGACGUCAAAGCGUUCAUUAAAGUCGAGUUGGCUUAGGGAUACGUUCGUUGGGUAGGGGAGCGUUCUGUAAGCCUGUGAAGGUGUGUCGUGAGGCAUGCUGGAGGUAUCAGAAGUGCGAAUGCUGACAUAAGUAACGAUAAAGCGGGUGAAAAGCCCGCUCGCCGGAAGACCAAGGGUUCCUGUCCAACGUUAAUCGGGGCAGGGUGAGUCGACCCCUAAGGCGAGGCCGAAAGGCGUAGUCGAUGGGAAACGGGUUAAUAUUCCCGUACUUGGUGUUACUGCGAAGGGGGGACGGAGAAGGCUAUGUUGGCCGGGCGACGGUUGUCCCGGUUUAAGCGUGUAGGUGUGUGUUCCAGGUAAAUCCGGUUCACUUUAACACUGAGGCGUGACGACGAGGCACUACGGUGCUGAAGCAACAAAUGCCCUGCUUCCAGGAAAAGCCUCUAAGCAUCAGGUAACAUCAAAUCGUACCCCAAACCGACACAGGUGGUCAGGUAGAGAAUACCAAGGCGCUUGAGAGAACUCGGGUGAAGGAACUAGGCAAAAUGGUGCCGUAACUUCGGGAGAAGGCACGCUGACACGUAGGUGAAGUGAUUUACUCAUGGAGCUGAAGUCAGUCGAAGAUACCAGCUGGCUGCAACUGUUUAUUAAAAACACAGCACUGUGCAAACACGAAAGUGGACGUAUACGGUGUGACGCCUGCCCGGUGCCGGAA